UUUAUCAACACUGUUGAGCCGCGAAAGAACUUAAAUUUGUCAACUUCCCUCUUCUCUAAAUCUCACCUCGACCAAUUCUGGGCAUUAGGUUUUGAAAAAAUCAGUUUCUACUUCUUGCUUCAGCUCUACAUCAUAGACUCGAGUGAAUUCGCUCCAUUUGAAAUCUCUCUCACCGAACAAUUUCUCGCUUAUGCGACUGUUUCAGCCUCUUCUCUAUGAAAUUGCAAACAACUGCUUUGCAAUUGCUACCCAAAAUGCGGUGAUGUGUGAUACAAUCAUGCGUAGAAUCUGCUGGUGGAGAACUCAGAGAUUGCAUAAUUGCCGAGAUAUUGACAAAUGAAGUGCAAUUAUCAGAAGACUUGUUUUCUUUUUCUUCUGCUUAUGUAAUGUGUGAAGAUGAAGUUGCUAUAUAGGUCUAAUUGCUUUUAGGUUUCAUUUCAUGUAGCAACAAUGUGGUGCAACAUCUUGUGGGAUUGAAGUUACAGAGUGUUAUGUAUAUUUUAAUUGAUAGACUUCAAGGAUACUUUCUGACUCUCUCAUGCAAUAAGACGCUAGUAAUGUUGCUGAGAAAUUAUCCUCGAUUCAAGAGAAGAGCACUCCACGAGAAUGAUCACCGAGCUGCUCAGUCAUCCAAGUGGUUCAAUGAUACAUAUGGACCCUUAUGCUAACUUUGUCAUCUAGUAAUCACUGCAAAGAGCAAAGGUAAGUUUGGUUCAAUAAAUUCCUGGGUCAUUGAGCAUGCUUAUAACGUAUAAGAAACAAAAUGAGCCAUCUGGAGCUGCUAAUUCAUCUUGGACUGAAACGACCUUCUAGGAGUUCUCUUUUCUCUGUAUGUUUGCAUGGUAAAAACAUUCUCAAAACCAUAGGUGUGGCUAUUUUGACAUUUAGGCUAAAUUUUUUAGAAGAUAAUAUGAAGGGAAACCGCAGAAUCAAUUACGAAUAGUACCUGUACAUACCAUUAACCGGAAAAUAUAGAAGGUUGCUGUUAUUGGUGGUGGUUUAAUGGGCUCUGGUAUUGUCACAACUCUUAUACUCAGUUCUAUACAAGUCAUUAUCAAAGAAAUUAACUUCGACUAUCUACAAAUGUCACUCAAAUCAAUAGACGGUACCUUUGCCAUUUUAGGAAUGUCUUUUCCAUAUUACACAGAUAGAAGUUGUAGAAAUUUACUCUUUUUGGUGGAAAAGUGAAGUUUUUCUGUUAAUAACUUUUUGUGUUGUUGCCAUAGAUGUAGAGAGUAAAUAUCAUUAAUGAGUGAAUAUUAUUUGAGACCUGAUUUAUUGAUUUAGAAAUAUGGUUCCAUUUGAAAUGACUGAAAACAUCAGAUAGUUGUAUCUUAUCUUAGGUUUACUUUUACACUUAAUUAGUUGCCAAAACUUUUAAGUUCAUAACUUUGAAACCUAUCAACAUUGUUGGUGAAAGAAUUCAGAUACAUUCCAAUCCAACAUAUGACAAAGCGGGUUUGUGUACGAGUAAUGUAGUUUCAGUGAUUGUUUGGGAAUGGAAAUAGUAAUGUAGUUUUAGUGAUUGCUGGCCCUGAGCUGGCGUCAACACUUGUUAUUGUUAUUUUAAAGGUGGUUAUGCAUCUAAUUUCUGUUUUUUUCCUUAACAAAAUAAGAGAACCUUUUUUUGAUAACCGACAUGUCUCAUGUUGCUGCUGCUUAUAUGGUUCAUUUGAGUAGCUCGUGUGUGUCAAAAAGUUAUGGGAAUGGAGACAAGUUAAGUAUUGUUUCUUCAGCCAUGGCUCCAAGUUCGAGUUUUAUUGGUUCCACAACUACAAGUGCUACAAAGAUACUUAAGCUUUGUGGUCUUUGCCAUCACAAGCGAGUGUCGUACAAAAACUGAAUGGAAAAUAGGAGUUGAUUGUCAUAAAGGUUAAGAACACAAAUAGAUCUUUUGUAGCAUUUAAGGCAAGUGACACUUGACGAUAUACACCUUCAAACAAAUGAAGCAAACAAGCAAACAAGGUAGGCAGCAUGAGGAUAAGCAUCAAACUUGACAAGCACUUGAAUACAGUGUCUGGUUCAAAAAAAGAUGGAUGAUGCUUACCUAUCCCCAACAAAUCCUUGCUCUUUAGAUUCAAAAGACUCAAAGCUCUCGUGUGAUCGUAAAAUAGUACCUUCUCAUAACAGUGUAAGUAUAUGACUGAACCCCUCUCUUCCCCUUACAACUUAUUGGUAGCUCUUACUGUAUUGUAUAAGUUGUAUGUAAAUCAGUAUGGUUAAACACCAUCUCCCUUGUUUUUUUUGAAGUGACUACGUAAUUCGAAUGAAAAGACUAUCUCUUUUUGAAUAUUAACAAGCAAAGUAAUCCAAAUAAUAAGCAGUCACUUCCUGUAACAAUCGUUAUUAUAUAGUACUGAAUUCAUAUGAAAAAACUGAUUAUAGUCCACAACAUGUUCUAAUAUUUAUGGCUAAGUUUCCUGGUAACUCUUAUAUUGAAGAUGUCAUUUGUGUUGUUGCCAUCUUUUGUUAUCUCUUUCCUUAUGUUAAAAUACAUUAGUCUUUGAUAUGGGAAAUACAAAUACUGAGUUAUUAAAGUACACCUGACUCUAAGAAGCUCGUAAAUUGUGUUUUAUGACUUUAUCACUAAUGUCUUCUUUGUGAUGAUCAUUAUGUCUUUGAGAACUCUAGCACAAGUAACUAUAGUAUUUCAAUUACAUACUCUAAUUUUCAUCUUCUCAUCUCAACAAAAUGGCGGAAUAUGUUCAAUGCUUCGGGCGAAAGAAGACCGCAGUAGCAGUUACCCACUGCAAACACGGUAAAGGUUCGAUCAAGAUCAAUGGUGUAGCUAUCUAGUUAGUACAGCCAGAGAUUCUCAGGUACAGGGCUUGUGAACCUAUUAUACUUUUAGGAAGACACCGUUUUGUAGGUGUAGACGUGUGAAUCCGUGUGAAAGGUGGAGGUCACAUUCACAAAUCUACACAAUUCGUCCGUGUAUUACGAAAACACUUGUUUCUUUUUAAAAGAAGUGUGUUGAUGAGAAGUCAAAGAAGCAGAUUAAGGAUAUACUUUUUACCAGAAGUAUAUUGCGGAAGCACCAUUUCUGCUCAUGAUUUUCUUGUUUGAUAGAACAAUCAAUUUAUAUUUUAAUUGCUCAAGUUGCUCGUGAUAUUUUAACAUUUUUUUGACUGUUUAGUGUUCAGUUUUUGUUGCUAAAUGUACGAGAUGAAUGAUUGUUCCUUUCACUCUUCUUACCAUCCCAGCAUACAAUUUUUAUGCUUCUCCUUGAAUGGGAAAAACGACGAAUGUUCUAUUCAUUGCCCAUCAAGUUUUCAGGUAUGUUUAUGCCAUGUGGAUUUUUGUUGAGGUUUUCUCUAGUUGAUGUUAAUUUAAUGAAGAAAUUUUAGUCUCUUUAAUUAAUUAGUGAUUCUAUAAAUUUGAUUCCUGAAAAUUUUCCUUUUAGCAUGAUUCCUUAUGGUUUUAGUUAUCAGUUCUAGCUUGUUAUCAAAGAGUAAGUUUUUCAAGAUUUGCUUGGAAAUAUUUGUUAUUACUUGAAAAGUUAACAGAUACAUCUUGUGAAGUACCAUCCAUCUUUCUCAAUAUUUAUUUCAACAAUUUUUGAAUUCUUUUGGUCGUUAUAUGAAGCAACACCACUUGAUGGGAGAAUUAUAAUUUUAUUGUAAAUUUUAAGUGGAGUGAAUGAGUUAGACAGACCAUCUUACUCUAUUGACAAAUUGGUAAGUGUUAUUAGCUUUUUGAAAUUGACACCAUGUUUUAAUAUGCACAAGAUCUUAGUAUUUGUAGUUAACACGAUGUGUUAUUGUCUUGUAUAUGUAGGUAUCAUUUUCAUGUACAUUGUCGACUCUAUCACAUAAGCUUGAGAUAUCAGUUUUACUUCGAAAGGUUAUAUGAUGGUCUUGGCAGUCAUGUAAUUCGUGAAGCGGUCAUAGUAGAGAUUUGAGUUUAAAGAAGGGUUCGAUUGUCGUCGUUGGAAUGAAGAGAAUCAUAAAUAGUUAUUGGAGUUUUGUUGCCACGCUUGGAUUAAAAGUAACAAAAACAUACUUUCUGAUAUGUGCAGUGUUUAGUGAUUUUUGUAUAGCUCCUUUUGUAGAUCUAUAUUUGAAUUUAUGAAAAUAUGUUUCGGAAAGGUGACACAUAUCUCUACAACCCUUAUUCUUAUUUUAUAAUCUGAUUUUGCUGUUAUAUAUAGACAUAGGGGACACGAGACAGGAAUGUUCUGUCCAACUCCCAUCUUAGAAAAUCCCCUAUAUUCUAUUUUUAUUUUUUUCACGAUAACUUUUUGUGCAAAACAUAUUUUGUGGUGGUUCUGGACUCGUUGUAACCCCGAGAAAUAUAUCUACAACUUUCAUGAAGUUGAUGAAGUCCUUUUCUAAUCUGUACCUAUUCAAUUAAGUUACAACACGAGAGGGUGGGCUGCUCAGAUUUGUUAUUUGGAGGAUAAAGUCUAAUUUGCACAACCUGUUAUUACCUUAGCUGUUAAUAUAGAUUCAUAUCAACAUGAUGAAGCUAUUGGAAAUUACAAAGAAAUAUAUUUGUGUUAAAGGUUGUAUCUACUCGCGUGUAAGCUAAGGUACUUGAUGCAUUGUUUAGUCUACGAUUUGGGCUCUUGACUUUGUGGUAGGGCUAUUUAUGUGCUAACCAACUAAAGUUUUUGUAUAAACUUGUACUUGGUACUCCUAUUUCCUGCUGGUAUAUCUAAAAUUUUAUAUUGGUACCUUGGACACUCCUCGCUUAUUUGUAUUGUUGUGUUGGUAUACUUUGAGACUUGCAAGAGACUUGUUUAACUCGCCCACUAGGAUUGCUCGAUCACUUAGCUAUCCAUUAGUCAUGGUUUAAGGUCUACGACACGAGAAGGUCAGUACUUUCGGGUUAACUUUGAGUCUUGACUCGAUUAUUUACAGUUCUUUAUGAUAUCAGAUCAGCUAUUCAUAGAUUCUUGAGUUGGUAAGCAUGGUUAUAUUAUCUUUAAACCUUAUCUGUAUUUGCAGUUGUCAAUCCAUGAUACCGUCUUAGUUACUAUUUUUUUUUUGCUUUAUCAAUACAUUAUCUUGGACUGAUGUCUCAAUUUAUUUGGGGACACAUCAUUCAUGCCUGCAGGUUAUUAGGUACACACAAGUCCUUAUUCCAAGUGGUCGAGUGAUCACCUUAUGAUUGUAUGCUCCGCUCUUUCCGGAUUUUAUAAUUUUGGGGUUCUCUUCUUCGUUAUAUUACUAAUAGGACACCUUCACAUACCCCGUUUGAAUAUGCACUUCUUCUUUUGCAUUUAAUAACUGUUGGCUGCUGGAAACAUGGGAGUGCCUGCUCUCACAAGAAAAUGACAGCUGCAACACGUCCACUUUAACAUCUGACGACAUUUUCAUCAUUUUUUGGUGUUGCUCCUAUAUGUCAACCUUUAUCUUCUUGAAGAAGUAUUUUCCAUUUGCUGAACUCUAUGAAGAACACUUCGACACAACUCAUUGUUAAUGUUGAAAACAUUGUUAAAUACCAACUAAUUGGACAGGGCAACUUCCCACUAUAUAUAAUUAGGUGGUGAACGUA